GAUGAACGCUGGCGGCGUGCUUAACACAUGCAAGUCGAACGAAACACCUUAUUUGAUUUUCUUCGGAACUGAAGAUUUGGUGAUUGAGUGGCGGACGGGUGAGUAACGCGUGGGUGACCUGCCCUGUACAGGGGGAUAACAGUCAGAAAUGACUGCUAAUACCGCAUAAGACCACAGCACCGCAUGGUGCAGGGGUAAAAACUCCGGUGGUACAGGAUGGACCCGCGUCUGAUUAGCUGGUUGGUGAGGUAACGGCUCACCAAGGCGACGAUCAGUAGCCGGCUUGAGAGAGUGAACGGCCACAUUGGGACUGAGACACGGCCCAAACUCCUACGGGAGGCAGCAGUGGGGAAUAUUGCACAAUGGGGGAAACCCUGAUGCAGCGACGCCGCGUGAGUGAAGAAGUAUUUCGGUAUGUAAAGCUCUAUCAGCAGGGAAGAAAAUGACGGUACCUGACUAAGAAGCCCCGGCUAACUACGUG
rnacentral:rRNA from 1 species